rnacentral:rRNA from 1 species
GGAAUUUUGGACAAUGGGGGCAACCCUGAUCCAGCAAUGCCGCGUGCGGGAAGAAGGCCUUCGGGUUGUAAACCGCUUUUGUCAGGGAAGAAAUCUUUUGGGCUAAUACCUCGGAAGGCUGACGGUACCUGCAGAAUAAGCACCGGCUAACUACGUCCCAGCAGCCGCGGUAAUACGUAGGGUGCGAGCGUUCAUCGGAAUUACUGGGCGUAAAGCGUGCGCAGGCGGCGAUGUAAGACAGAUGUGAAAUCCCCGGGCUUAACCUGGGAACUGCAUUUGUGACUGCAUUGCUAGAGUGCGGCAGAGGGAGAUGGAAUUCCGCGUGUAGCAGUGAAAUGCGUAGAUAUGCGGAGGAACACCGAUGGCGAAGGCAGUCUCCUGGGCCUGCACUGACGCUCAUGCACGAAAGCGUGGGGAGCAAAC